rnacentral:rRNA from 1 species
GACGAACGCUGGCGGCGUGCUUAACACAUGCAAGUCGAACGAAGUGGCGAACGGGUGAGUAACGCGUAAUCAACCUGCCCUUCAGUGGGGGACAACAGUGGGAAACGACUGCUAAUACCGCAUACUGAAGUAGGGGAUUGCGUCUGAUUUGCUAGCUGGGGGGGUAACGGCCCACCAAGGCGAUGCUCAGUAGCCGGUCUGGGAGGGUGAACGGCCACAUUUGGACUGAGACACGGCCCAGACCCCUACGGGAGGCAGCAGUGGGGAAUCUUCCGCAAUGGAGGAAAGUCUGACGGAGCAACGCCGCCUGAGUGAUGACGGCCUUCGGGUUGUAAAGCUCUGUUAAUCGGGACGCGGUACCGGAAUAGAAAGCCACGGCUAACUACGUGCCAGCAGCCGCGGUAAUUC